rnacentral:rRNA from 1 species
GAUGAACGCUGGCGGCGUGCUUAACACAUGCAAGUUGAACGGAAAGGCCCAAGCUUGCUUGGGUACUCGAGUGGCGAACGGGUGAGUAACACGUGGGUGAUCUGCCCUGCACUUCGGGAUAAGCCUGGGAAACUGGGUCUAAUACCGGAUAGGACGAUGGUUUGGAUGCCAUUGUGGAAAGUUUUUUCGGUGUGGGAUGAGCUCGCGGCCUAUCAGCUUGUUGGUGGGGUAAUGGCCUACCAAGGCGUCGACGGGUAGCCGGCCUGAGAGGGUGUACGGCCACAUUGGGACUGAGAUACGGCCCAGACUCCUACGGGAGGCAGCAGUGGGGAAUAUUGCACAAUGGGCGCAAGCCUGAUGCAGCGACGCCGCGUGGGGGAUGACGGCCUUCGGGUUGUAAACUCCUUUCGCUAGGGACGAAGCGUUUUUGUGACGGUACCUGGAGAAGAAGCACCGGCUAACUACGUG